rnacentral:lncRNA from 1 species
CAUAUUGCCAUACAUCUUGCCACGAAAAUAAUAAUAUAAAGUGUUUUGAAGAAUUCACCCUGUAAAUCUGUCAGAGGCAUGUGAACCAAAGCAACUCCAUCUUGAAUAGGGGCUAGGUAAAAUAAGGCUGAGACCUGCUAGGCUGCAUUCCCAGACGGUUAAGGCAUUCUAAGUCACAGAAUGAGUUAGGAGGUCAGCACAAGGUACAGGUCAUAAAGACUUUGCUGAUAAAACAGGUUUCAGUAAAGAAGCCAGCCAAAACCCACCAAAACCAAAAUGGCGGCAAGAAUGACCUCUGGUCGUCCUCACUGCUACACUCCCACCAGCGCCAUGACAGUUUGCAAAUGCCAUGGUAACAUCAGGAAGUUGCCCUAUAUGAUCUAAAAAAAGGAGGCAUGAAUAAGCCACCCCUUGUUUAGCGUAUCAUCAAGAAAUAACUAUAAAUAAGGGCAACCGGCAGCCCAAGGGGCUGCUCAGUCUGGAGUAGCCAUUUUUUUUAUUCCUCCUAAUAAACUUGCUUUCACUUUACAGACUCGCCCUGAAUUCUUUCUUGUGUGAAAUCCAAGAGCCCUCUCUUGGGGUUGGAUCAGGACCCUGUUCCUGUAAGAAGUCCACAAUGCCAGAGAAUUAAAGAGAACCACAAAGCUGAACCUCAAAAAGUUAGCCUGGCGAGGGGAGGAUGAUGAGAUUACCCCUCUUGUCACAUAAACAAGGAAGUAAAGGAGGCCCCUUGUGCUCUCAGAACUCCAAGCAUGAAACGAUAGCAAAGGGAAAAACAGCUAAGUGUUUCCUGGCUGAAUUGUAUUUUGCUUUCAGUUUCUGCCAUUUCAGUUCCUGUUAUCGUGCUUUGAG